GGUACCUUUCCAUGAGCUCACCUCUGUUCCACUCCCAUCUCAUAAAGGGUGUGACAGAUACUUCACAGAAGGCAAGGAGAAAACAGGUCAGAAGUAUGUUAUUGGGGGCUUAGCACUGAUUUUGGUUCUGACAAGCUGGCCACUCAGAGACAGCAGUAGCUAUGUCUGUCUCAGUAUGUGGUAGACCAUGCUGUUGGGCCCAUAUAUAUAUAGCCUCCAUGCCUGCCACUGGGGCUACUUCAUUCACGUACCCACUGUGUCAGUUCUGGGAUGACUAAAAUCAACUGGGCACCAUCCACCCUCCCCAUGCAUUUUAAAUGCCUGCAUCAUCAUAUUUGCUACAGCAUUUUACUUCACCAGGAUAUUUUUCCAGGUCAUCAUGAGUGAAGUCUUGAGCCACUGAGCCACUACCACCUUGUGCCAAAUACUAUCUGUGCCCUGCCUGCCAACCAGGAUGACAACCCUUCACCUGCCAGGUGGAGAGAGACAGCAGCAGGCUAACUAGUUGUCUGUUAAGAACAUCCAGAGCAGGACCAGAAUCUGGGCCAGGAACUGAGAGACAGAUUGGGACAACGGAACAAAUCUACCAGGAAAAUAGCUGCUGCCCCACUCCUGUGCCAAAAUCUGCUCCAAGGGAUCCUAUCCUAGUCAGAAGGCUGUACUCUGAAUGCUGAUAUUAGCUACAACACCAAGGCUUCCCACUAUACAAACUGGAUCCUCAAAGUCAUCCACACCAAAUGAACUCUCUAUUCUUUCUCCCAGUAGCCUGAGAACUGGGUUUACCAGCCUUGGCCCUUCCUUUCCUUCUAGCCUCAAAACAGGAUGGGAACAGAGUCUUUGGCUGUGAGAAUGGGCUCAAUAACAAAAUAAAGAUGACAGAAGAGUCAGUGACUUCAAUGACAGAGCGAUAGAAAUUACCAAUAUAAACGGAGAGAAAAGAGAUUUUUUAAAAAUGAACAAAUCCCCAAGGACCUGUGAGACAAUAACUGUGUUAGGUUUUCUAAACUUACAAGUGUUUUUAUUUAUAUAUGGUAAGCAACUAUGCAUUAUUUGUGUCAGAAUUAUUUUUUGUAUAUAUUUAAGGUAUACAACAUGAUGUCUCAACAUACUUAUAUGUAGUGAAAUGGUUACUACAGUCACCACACUUAUUGUCUCACAGGUUAUUGUCUUCAGAAGGAGAGUAAAAAGAAUGCUGGGUAGAAGAAAUACCUGAAGAAAUAAUGGCCCAACCUCAAAUUUGGUGAAAGACAUAAACUUACAGAUUCAAGAAACUGAGUGUUCCCCAAACAGAAUAAACUUUAAAGAAUCCACACUCAAACACAUCAUAAUCAAACUUCUGAAAACUAACAACAAAGAAAAACUUAAAAUCAGCAAGAGAGAAACCACACAUUAUCAACUGAUGAAAAGUGACUCAAGUGACAGCAGAUUUAUAAUCAGAAACUUGAAGGACAGAAGGAAGAGGCAAAACAUUUUGAAAGCCCUAAAAGGAAAGAACUGUCAACCCAGAAUUCGACAUCCAGUAAAAAUAUCCGUCAAGAAUGAAUAUGAAGGAAAGCUAAGAAUGAAUAUAUCUUCUAUUUCUUUGCUAAAUUUUUCUACUUUUUCAUUUGAUGUAAGAGUGUUUAUAAGUGCUUAUGGAGCAUUUUUAUGAUAGUUGGUUUACAAUCCUUGUCUGAGAGUAGCUAUGUGAGAUGACGUAUAUAGUAAAUGGUGACUGUAGUAACCAUUUCACUACAUAUAAGUAUGUCAAAACAUGUUGUACACCUUAAAUAUACACAAAAAAUAGCUCUGACACAAAAAAUGCAUAGUUGUUAUUACCAUGUAUAAAUAAAAAUACUUGUAAGUUUAGAAAAUAAAAUCAUUGUCUGAUAAUUAUCUAAAUAAUAAAGUCCA
rnacentral:lncRNA from 1 species